rnacentral:rRNA from 1 species
CUUGGUCAUUUAGAGGAAGUAAAAGUCGUAACAAGGUUUCCGUAGGUGAACCUGCGGAAGGAUCAUUACCGAACCGUCGACACGAGUUGUUGCUGGUCCUCAAAUGGGGGCAUGUGCACACUCUGUUUACUCAUCCACUCACACCUGUGCACCCACUGUAGUUCUGUGGCUUGGGGGGCUCUGUCCUCUUUGCUGUGGUUCUAUGUCUUUACACACACACUGUAAUAAAGUUUCAUGGAAUGCAUGACGCGUCUAACGCAAUACAAUAAAACUUUCAGCAACGGAUCUCUUGGCUCUCGCAUCGAUGAAGAACGCAGCGAAAUGCGAUAAGUAAUGUGAAUUGCAGAAUUCAGUGAAUCAUCGAAUCUUUGAACGCACCUUGCGCCCUCUGGCUAUUCCAGAGGGCAUGCCUGUUUGAGUAUCAUGAACACCUCAACUCUCAUGGUUUUGCCGUGAUGAGCUUGGACUUUGGGGGUCUUGCUGGCCUGUGGUCAGCUCCUCUCAAACGAAUCAGCUUGCCAGUGUCUGGUGGCAUCACAGGUGUGAUAACUAUCUACGCUUGUGGUUUUCCACCAGGUAACCUUCAGUGAUGGAGGUUCGCUGGAGCUCAUAAAUGUCCCUCCUCAGCGAGGACAGCUUCUUGAAUGUUUGAUCUCAAAUCAGGUAGGGCUACCCGCUGAACUUAAGCAUAUCAAUAAGCGGAGGA